rnacentral:tRNA from 1 species
GCGGGAGUAGCUCAGCUGGCAGAGCGUGAGACUGAAGGUCUCAAGGUCCCUGCUUCAACCCCGGCCAUCAGCA